rnacentral:rRNA from 1 species
UGCCAGCCGCCGCGGUAAUACGGGGGGUGCAAGCGUUAAUCGGAAUUAUUGGGCGUAAAGGGUUCGUAGGCUGUAUUCUGCUGUUGAAUGUUAAAAAUUAAAGCCUAACUUUGAAACUGCAUUCAAAACGUUUAUACUUGAGUGCGAAAUAGGACAAUGGAAUUUUACAAGGAGGGGUGAAAUCCGUAGAACUGUAAAGGAACGUCAAAAGCGAAGGCAAUUGUCUGGGUUGUUACUGACGCUAAGGAACGAAAGCGUGGUUAUCAAACAGGAUUAGAUA